AGCUUAGCGGCGGACGGGUGAGUAAUGCUUAGGAAUCUGCCUAUUAGUGGGGGACAACAUUCCGAAAGGGAUGCUAAUACCGCAUACGCCCUACGGGGGAAAGCAGGGGAUCUUCGGACCUUGCGCUAAUAGAUGAGCCUAAGUCGGAUUAGCUAGUUGGUGGGGUAAAGGCCUACCAAGGCGACGAUCUGUAGCGGGUCUGAGAGGAUGAUCCGCCACACUGGGACUGAGACACGGCCCAAACUCCUACGGGAGGCAGCAGUGGGGAAUAUUGGACAAUGGGGGGAACCCUGAUCCAGCCAUGCCGCGUGUGUGAAGAAGGCCUUUUGGUUGUAAAGCACUUUAAGCGAGGAGGAGGCGCUCUAGGUUAAUACCCUAGAUGCGUGGACGUUACUCGCAGAAUAAGCACCGGCUAACUCUGUGCCAGCAGCCGCGGUAAUACAGAGGGUGCGAGCGUUAAUCGGAUUUACUGGGCGUAAAGCGCGCGUAGGUGGCUAAUUAAGUCAAAUGUGAAAUCCCCGAGCUUAACUUGGGAAUUGCAUUCGAUACUGGUUAGCUAGAGUAUGGGAGAGGAUGGUAGAAUUCCAGGUGUAGCGGUGAAAUGCGUAGAGAUCUGGAGGAAUACCGAUGGCGAAGGCAGCCAUCUGGCCUAAUACUGACACUGAGGUGCGAAAGCAUGGGGAGCAAACAGGAUUAGAUACCCUGGUAGUCCAUGCCGUAAACGAUGUCUACUAGCCGUUGGGGCCUUUGAGGCUUUAGUGGCGCAGCUAACGCGAUAAGUAGACCGCCUGGGGAGUACGGUCGCAAGACUAAAACUCAAAUGAAUUGACGGGGGCCCGCACAAGCGGUGGAGCAUGUGGUUUAAUUCGAUGCAACGCGAAGAACCUUACCUGGCCUUGACAUACAGAGAACUUUCCAGAGAUGGAUUGGUGCCUUCGGGAACUCUGAUACAGGUGCUGCAUGGCUGUCGUCAGCUCGUGUCGUGAGAUGUUGGGUUAAGUCCCGCAACGAGCGCAACCCUUUUCCUUACUUGCCAGCAUUUCGGAUGGGAACUUUAAGGAUACUGCCAGUGACAAACUGGAGGAAGGCGGGGACGACGUCAAGUCAUCAUGGCCCUUACGGCCAGGGCUACACACGUGCUACAAUGGUCGGUACAAAGGGUUGCUACACAGCGAUGUGAUGCUAAUCUCAAAAAGCCGAUCGUAGUCCGGAUUGGAGUCUGCAACUCGACUCCAUGAAGUCGGAAUCGCUAGUAAUCGCGGAUCAGAAUGCCGCGGUGAAUACGUUCCCGGGCCUUGUACACACCGCCCGUCACACCAUGGGAGUUUGUUGCACCAGAAGUAGGUAGUCU
rnacentral:rRNA from 1 species